CUGUGCAUAAGAUUAUGUUCGUAGAGUGACGAAAGUACCCUUUGAGAUAUUUGUGGUAAUCAGGCGAAGUAUUUGGUAUGUGCAUUUUACGAAGAUGAAGGGCUGCAAAGUUUGAUGGGGAAUUAGUAAUUAUUGAUUUUCUCAAGAAUUCAGUAACAUCUCUGAUCAUAUACUGGCUUUUUAACUUCUAAGUUCAUAUUUAAUAUUUAAAGCAUUUGGUCUUAUAAAGAUACUCCUGUUUCCUAUUAUAAGUAGUUUAAAGAAAAAUAGUUUGUUUCAAAAUAUAAGUUGUUUUCACAUUUUAAUGCAUUUUUUAUUCUUAUUAAAUACUGUUUAACUAAUAAAAUAAUACAUAUUUUUUUUUUAUGAUUGGUUAAAUUUAUACAUUAAAUGAUACUUUUUGAAAAGUAACAACUUUCUUAAUAUUGAUGUUUUUAAUUAAAACUACCUACAUUUGGAUAAUAUUUUACAAUUUUUGUGGAUAUGGGAGAAAUUUACCAGAAAAUUAAAUCAGUAUUAUCUAUAAUUUUAAUUUUACGUUGCUUAUUUUCAAUUUUAGUAUUUGUUUUCCUUUACUAAUCUUAUAAAAUUAUUUUUAAUUUAGUGCUUGUUUUCUUUGGCUAAUAAAAUAAGUUUCCAACGUUUUUAUAUAUUGUUUUGAAGAUAAUGUGUUGCUUACAGAAUUAAAUUACACAAAUAAAUAGCUACAAAAUAAAAAAUUAAAGAAGAAAAAGACUAAAGUAUAAAUAAAAAAGUUUUACUCUAUAAUACAGUAAGAAAUAGAGUUCGUUUCAAAAAAAAAAAUAGAGUUAUUCCAAAUAUAGAAUCAGAAAUAAAAUUACACUAUUUGAUAGUAAGAUAUAAA